UUUCAAGUUAUUGCAUCGAUAACUAUUCUUACAAUUUAUCUCGUUUAUAUGUAGUUAUUGCAACGACAUUAAUAGACAAAAGACUACCAUCCAUAUGGAAUCAAUAUCCGACAGACUCUCAUUUGUUUACUAUACUUGCAUUGAUAGUGUACGCUUGCACAUUAUUGCUGUGACGUUAAACAGCUGAUCACUUUUCUAUUUCUACAUUCC
rnacentral:lncRNA from 1 species